CAAGAAGAGGAAGGGCAAGAGGAAGGCAACGAGAGAGUGCUUGGAAGCAGAGGCUCCUUGUCAGGGACUGCGCUGUGAGCUGUUGUCCUCCUGCAGCGCGAUGCUGCUGGAAUUCAAUUGCUGAGAGUGAAUUAUGGACUUCUGGAUGGGGAAGGUAUGAAAUGCCUUUUUUUGGAGGAAAUGCCUUCUUUAUCUCCUCCUCAGCAUACAUCAACUUCUUACGCUCUGAACAUACCGAUGCUGUGGUGCUGAGAUCCAGCCUUUUGAUGGACUGCCGUUAGCUGCACUGACUCUGCCUGCCCAGGAAUUAGGCUCACUGUUUUUCAGGAUCUUUACCUUUAAUUUCUGGAGGUGGUGAUACCUUAAAUGGAUGAUCUCAGCUCAUUUGGUUUCAUUCAGAAACCAAUCAACCUAAAUCAUCUUCAGUGAGGUCUGGGUUCAAAGCACCCCCCACUGCCCUUUUAGUCCC